CAACAACGAAAGGUCCCACGUUUAGCAAGCAAAUCAACAUAUAGCAGUGCUUGCACACAAACAACAGAAGGUCUCCGAUAUACAUUUAUCAUACGAGAAUGCUAUUUUCCUGCCGACUAGCAGUUAGCGACAGGCACAUACGAUCGCUUCUCUUUGUUUUUUUUCCUUGCUGGGGAGUCGAACCUGGUAUCUGAUAGAUCCAGCAAUAUUAGGAAUCUACCAACAACCACCUAAACAAACUCUAUGUUGUGAUUUGAUUCUUGUUACGUAUUUUUCAUACCUUUAUGCUGAGGUAGACUUUUCUACUCACAUAUCUGGUCGAGUGUUAUUCUGCUGUCGUUUUCGGUUUUUUUUUACAAACUUUUUACCAAAAAAAUAUACAAAACAUACAUUUUUAUCAAAAAAAAUUAGAGAUGUGAGUUGAGCUCACGAUUUAACAUAUAAGACUAGACUCUUGUACUCUUUGUACAUAGAUAUGAGCUGAGUUCAUGGUCUUAACAAGAUAAGUUAUUCACCGCAACCUUGAUAACUUACGUACAAAUAUUGUAGAAACUUCGAUCAGGUGAAAAACCAUUUUUGAAACACACCCCGAUAACUCGUGCGAAAAAUAGCAUGAUAAUAUAAGUACCAUAUACAUGAUAAUUUUGGUCCAGUGGGGGAGUGUUGUUUGACGAUAAUUUAUGUGUAAAUAGCAUGGUAACUCACACAUAACAAACUUGAUCACUUAUAUACAAAAAUCGUGAUAACUUUUGUACAAACAUCCUUAUAGCGUGCUAGUGGUGUGGCCCACGUAAACGACUUGUUUUUGGCGAGAUAUAGAUCUCAUAACUUGAUGAACAAAUAUUAUGCUAACUUUGACCUAGAAAAAAGUUGCUUAAAUAUACUCCGGCAUCUUCAGUGGUACGUAAGACUCACGGUAUUUUUGACCCGGCAGAAAAUAGUGGUUAAAUACACAACUUGAUGACUUCAAUAUAAAUAGCAUGAAAAUAUGCGCACCAUAGACCAGAUAACUUAGGGGCACAGACAAUGUGAUAACUUUGAUCUGGGAUUUUUCUUUCUUAAAAUCAUAUCUUCAAUUACUUAUGUGUAAAAUAAUAUGGUAAUAUACGCACCGCUUACCUGAUAACUUAGGUCCAAACACCACGGUAAUUUUUAUCCAGGAAAGAAAAUGUUGAAGACACAUCCGCGAUAACUUCUGUAUAAAUAGCAUGAUAAUAUACGACAACAAACCUGAUAACUUAGGUACAAAUACCCUGGUAACUUUAAUCUGAGGAAAAAAGGUUGUUUAAAAUGUAACUCCGGUAACUUUUGUGUGCCCACACAUCUGAUAACUUAUGUACAAAACACCAUAGUAACUUUUUACUUGGGCGAAAAUAUUUGUUGUGCGUGAGUUAUCAUGGUGUUUGUUCGUGAGUUAUCAGGUUCGUGCGUAUACAUUAUCAUGCUCUUUACAAAAAAGUUACCGGGGUAUGUUACAACUUUUUUUCUUCGGGCAAAAAGUUAAGCAGUGUUUGUGAGUGAGUUAACAGGUUUGCGGCUUAUAUAUUACCAUGCUCUUUAUAAAGAAAUUAUUGGGGUUUGUUACAACAACAAAAAAUCAUGUGGUCAGAAAAUUUACCAUAGUGUGUUGUGCGUGAGUUAUCAGAUUCAUGACGUAAUAAAUUAUCAUGCUCUUUUUCCAGAUAAGUUAUCGGGGUGUGUUACAACAACACUUUUUCUUCAUAGUUACCACGGAGAUUUGUGAGUGAGUUAUCAGGUUCGUGGCGUAUAAUUACCAUGCUCUUUUACAGAUAAGUUAUCGAGGUGUAUUAUUACAACACUUUACCUAGGGUCAAAAGGUUACAAUGGCGCGCGAGUUAUCAGGUCUAUGAUGCAUGGAUUACCAUGUACAAAAGGAAAGGAAAUUUGGCAAAUAAAAAAGAAAGAAAGAAAACAGCUUAUUUUUCUGGUCGCGUAUGUAGAAGUACAAAUAUUUAUUGGCAUUCUAUGUAAUCACAACUUGAAACUAGACCAGAUGGAUAUGACAAGCGAUCUUGAAUCAAGAGGUAGUGAGUUUAACUCCCACCUUAUAGCACUUUUUACCAUGUUUUUUCUACCACGCUAGGAAAUAAAAUGAAGCGGGAGAAGCGAUGGGAUGGGAUCGAGAAAGAAGGAUGUGCGCCAGAAAAAUCGCACGGGAUAUGUUUACCACAGUCCGGUAUAAAUAUUACCCAACCUAAUUAUAGUUAGAAUUUAAGCUAGUUCAGUUGGUUGUGAACAGCUAUGGUGAACUGUACGUAGUGGGUUCGACUCCCACUACGUACAUUUUUUUUUACCACGCCAGAAAAAAAACGCUGAGAGCGAUAGCACAGUCCUUUAUCAUAACAGCGUGUAUAUCAGAGACGAUGAGGGGAUGGUGUACAGAACGCAGUAGAAGAGAGCAAUGGUGGAAGCAGGCGCGCGGCGGGCGAUGUUGCAAAACACAUACCAGUCCGCCAUCUGCCUUCGCCCUUUCCCCUUCGCAACAGAGGCGUGGAAGCAGAAAGAUAUUUUCAUGGGCCCCCUUCUAGGAUGCAGCGGCCGUGGCCGCGAAUGCUUGCCACGGUCGUCGAAUUCGUUGUGCCUCAUUGAGGAUCUGGGACUCUGGGGAUCGGCAAUGGAACAAAGGCCCGACCUAAACGUGUUAGCACCCAGCUGGAGUCCCGCUUCCGCAGCAAAAAUUCAGGGCCGCCGGAGAAGUUAGAGGCCAGGGCUACCAGACCUAGGAGAUGGCGUUGGGGAUGGGUCGCCUGCCAUCGAGUGAGGCAGCGCAACCUCAUAGGUGAUGCCCAUCUUCCAUGGAGCCUUCAAGAUUUCUGACCGGAGAGAAGAUGGACGUGCACACCAUUGAGAAACAGAAUAGGUUGGAGGCUGAGGAUAAGUGACAGUCCGUCUCAGGUAUUAAAGAGGAGAAUGUCUCGUUGGUUUCAGAAAAGUAAAUGUCUCGUGGGUUUCAGAAGAGAAAGAGUAAGAGGAAACGAUGAGUAAUUAAACCAGACGAUUUAAAUUGUGUAAUUCUUUUGCUGAGGUGGCCAAUUUGCUUAGUUGGAUGGAUGCAUGAUGAUGAUGUGGACAGUGUGCAUAUUGAGAGAAUUGGUUGUAGUGGGGAUCAACUUCUUAAAAAUGUAAGAUAAAGAAAAACAAAAACAAAAAACCGACGAAAAAAAGGCCAAACAAAACUAAAAAAACAAAAAAAAACUAGACUGAGAAGAUGAACAACAAGUGGAAUAAAAGAAGUAACUAGGUGCAACAAGUUUGUUGUCCUAGUUGGUUACAGUAGGUGGAAGUAAACUAGGAGGUUGGGAGUUCGAAUCCUACCUCUUUGCACCUAUUUUUUCGAGGGAUCUCAAACUUUAUUAAAAAUGAACAAUAUUCAACAUGAUACAAAGAGGGUCAUCAGGGGAUAGAAGCCACACAUUGUGACCCUGAGGAAUCAAUAUAGCAAAUUCUACAAUGUUAUGUGCCUCCUUUCACAAUACUCUUCUGAUGUUUAUCUCUUUCACAAUAGUGAUAUGGGGCAUCCCAACCCCUUUUUGACGGUGUAAUGAUACGUCUCUAACGUAUCUAUAAUUUAUGAAGUAUUCAUGCUAUUAUAUUAUCAACCUUGGAUAUUUUAUAUGCAUUUAUAUGCUAUUUUAUAUGAUUUUGGGGACUAACCAAUUAACCUAGUGCCUAGUGCCAGUUUCUGUUUUUUUCUUGUUUUGCGUUUUACAGAAAAGGAAUAUCAAACGGAGUCCAAUUGACGUGCCAAUUUUUGACGGUUUUUUAUGGACCAAAAGAAGACCCCGGAGUAAAAGAGUUGGGCCAGGAGAGUCCCGGGGCGUCCACGAGGGUGGGGGGGUGCGCCCACCCACCCACCCCCCCCCCCAGGCGCGUGGGCCUGCCUCGUGGAUGCCUCGGGCACCUCCUUGACGUGAGACCGAUGCCAAAAAUUCUUGUAAAUACAGAAACCUCGGAAAAUUAACCUAGAUCGGGAGUUCCGCCACCAGAAGCCUCCGUAGCCACCGACAACCAAUCUAGGCCCUCUUUGGCACUCUGCCGGAGGGGCCAUCAUCACCGGAGGGCAUGGAGGAGGAUCCCGGAGGGGCCAUCAUCACCAUGAAGGCCAAGGACCAGAGGGAGAACCUCUCCCCAUCUAGGGAGGAGGCCAUGAAGGAGGAAGCACAAGGGGGAGAACCCCUCCUCCUCUAUCUCGGUGGCACCGGAGUGCCAUUGGGAGGGGAAUCAUCGCCGCGGUGAUCGUCUUCAUCAACAUCACCAUCACCAUCCUCAUCUUUUUUACGUGGUCCACUCUCCCGCACCCCGCUGUAAUCCCUACUUGAACAUGGUGCUUUAUGCCACAUAUUAUGAUCCAAUGAUGUGUUGCCAUCCUAUGAUGUUUUGAGUAGAUAUCCUUUGUCUUUGGGUUGAUUGAUGAUCUAGAUUGGUAUGAGUUGUAUGUUUUACUUUUGUGCUGUCCUAUGGUGCCCUCCGUGUCGCCCAAGCAUGAGGGAUUCCCGCUGUAGGGUGUUGCAAUAUGUUCAUGAUUCGCUUAUAGUGGGUUGGUAAGUGACUGAAACACAAACCCGCGUAAGGGGGUUGUUGUGUAUGGGAAUAAAGAGGACUUGAUGAUUUAAUGCUAUGGUUGGGUUUUACCUUAAUGAUCUUUAGUAGUUGUGGAUGCUUGCUAGAGUUCCAAUCAUAAGUGGAUAUGAUCCAAGUAGAGAAAGUAUGUUAGCUUAUGCCUCUCCCUCAUAUGAAACUGUAAUAGUGAUUCCCGAUCUUGUUAACGAUUGCCUAGGACAAUUCCGCACACCAAUCCACCAUUAUUCCACACUCGCUAUUUAUAAUAUUUAGUAAUAUAUUCUAACUUUAUGAUAACAGCACCUACUUUUAUAUUUUAGCUCUCUGAUAUCAUACAAAGUUAUCCUCUUCAUACCCACAUCAUAGUUUUAUUUCUCGUUGCUAGUUGGAAGCAAAUGUUCGGUGUACGUAGAGUCGUAUCAGUGGCAUAUAGGGCUUGAGAGAAUAUUGAUAUUAGCUUUAGCUCCUUGUGGGUUCGACACUCCAUACUUAUCACUUCCACCUUUGGAAAUUGCUACGAUGAUUCCCUGCACUUGGGGAUUAUCAAGCUCUUUUCUGGCGCCGUUGCCGGGGAGCAAUAGUGUGGGGUUGAUAUUCUCGUGUAUGCUUGUUUGCUUUCUUCACUAAGUAGAUUUUGUUCUUCCUUUUUGUUUCUAUUUAGUUGUGGGUGAAACAUACAUUUUUUUUGAAAAUACCAAAAAAAAUUACUUGCCUCUCAUGCCUAAAAAGUUUUUCAAAAAGAGAAGUGAUUGGAAAGUUAUGCAUUGAAGAAGUGAAGGUCGACCUUGAGCACUUGUGUUCAUGCUCACGGAAACAAUGUAGAAUUUUUCAUGGAAGUUUCUCUGUAAAUAAUUAUCCCCUUGUAUAUAUCCAUUGUAUUCUAAAAACAAUGUGCCAAGCUUUGGUUUUAGGAUGAUUAGAUUGCUUGUGUACUAUGUGCAGAACAAAAACAGAAACUUUGGAUGUAGCGCGUGAUUUUACAUUUUUUACUGGAAAGUAAAAUGGGUCUGAAACUUUUUGCACAUUACUUCUGUAUAAAUUUUUUAAAUUGCAAAAUUUAUUUCAUAAUGUUUGGAGUUACAUAAGUUUACUAAACCUUCAGAUUACUACAGACUGUCCUGUUUUAGACAUAUUCUUUUUUUUCGUGUGUUGUUUGCUUGUUUUGAUGAAUCUAUGGGUAGUAUCGGGGGUUAUGAACCAUGGUGAAGUUGGAAUACAAUAGAUAUAGUUUUAAUAUGAAAUUGGAAUGAGUUUUCAACAGUACCUAAAGUUAGUGAUUUGCUUUAUUAAACUAACGGAUCUCACAAAGUUUUUGUUAAAGUUUUUGGUGGAUGAAGUGUUCAAAGAACGAUGAGUUACCGAUGUAAGAAGAAUAAAGAGAGGCAAGAGCUCAAGCUUGGGGAUUCCCAAGGCACCCCAAGUAAAUAUUCUAAGGAUACUCAAGCAUCUAAGCUUGGGGAUGCCCCGGUUGGCAUCCCAUCUUUCUUCUUCAACAAAUUAUCGGUACACCUCGGCUUUUGUCUUGUUCACAUGAUUUGUGUCCUUUGUGUUUUUCUUUAAGAACCAUGCUAGUAUGAGAUGUACCUUCAUAAGUUUAUAGAAUACUUCAUGUGCUUCACUUAUAUCUUCUAAGUAUGAUCUUAUAGAAUUGCUCUUUGAGCUUCACUUAAAUCUUUUGAGUAUGGUUUUAUAGAAUGCUUCGUGUGCUUCACUUAUAUAUUUUGAGUUUGGAUAUUGUUUAGUCUAUAUUAAUUGUAGAAUGCUCCAUGAACUUCACUUAUAUAUUUUGGAGUAUGAAUAAUACUAUAAUCUAAAGCGGGUUUGGAAGAGUGUCAAAGGAACUAUUGAUCCCGCUAUUCCGAAUGGGGAGAAUUUUGCUUAUGUGGAGAGUAGUAAAAUUUCUAUGCUCGUAGAUCAUGAAAAGAAUGCUUUAUGUGAUGGUAAUAUUUUUGAACUCAUUCAUGAUGCUACUGAAAAUUAUUAUGAGGGAGGAAUACAUGCUUGUAGGAGUGCAAUAGUAUCAAGUUUUCCUCUCUGUGUGCUUAAAGUUUUGAAGUUAUACUUGUUUUGCCUUCCUAUGCUAGUUGAUUCUUGUUCCCAUAAAUAGUGUGCUCACAAAAUCCCUAGGCUUAGGAAGUGGGUUAGGUUUAAAUGUGCUAGUCAUAUCCUUCAUGAUGCUCUCUUUAUGUUCAAGUCUUAUCUUUCAUGUGAGCAUCAUUGAAAUCAUCAUGCCUAGCUAAAAGGCAUUAAAGAAAAGCGCUUAUUGGGGGACAACCCAAUAUUUACCCUUAUUGUUUUUGUGUGUUUACAUGAUGAAGCUAAUGUAGUAAUCAUGUUUUAUAGAUUUUGUUUCAAUAAAGAGCCAAGUAAGACCUUUGGGAAGACUUGGGUGAAAGUUAAUGUGAUCUUGUUGUAAAAAAUAGAAACUUUGCGCUCACGAGAUUAGCUACCAUUUUUUUACAGAAGAGUGCUUUGGUGCUGAUUCUUUUUACAGAAGAUUAAUAGACAAAUUCCUCAUGCCCACAAAUUUAUUUCAUAAUUUUUUCAGUAGCAUAAGUAUGGUUAGUGUUCAGAUCAUUACAGACUAUUCUGUUUCUGACAGAUUCUAUUUUCAUUGCAUAGUUUGCUUGUUUUCUAGUUUCCAUGACUUAUAUCCCUCAAUAUAAAUUGUAGGAAUGAUAUGGUACAGUAGGCAUUGUGUGAGAACAAUUAUGAUCUUUGUCUUUGACAAUACCAAGGUGAAUGGUUUACUCUAUAUCAUACUAACCUAUCUCACGAAGUUCCAUUAAGUUUUGUGUGAUUGAAGUUUUCAAGCUUUGGGUGAGAUAUCGAUAUGAGGAGAAUAAGGAGUGGAAAGAACCUAAGAUUGGGGAUGCCCAAGGCACCCCAAGGUAAUAUUCAAGAAAGACUCAAGCGCCUAAGCUUGGGGAUGCCCCGGAAGGCAUCCCCUCUUUCGUCUUCAAAACUAUCGGUAUACCUUACUCGGAGUUAUAUUUUUAUUCGUCACAUGAUAUGUGUUUUGCUUGGAGCGUAUUUCCAAUUUUACUUGAUGUUUGAAUAAAAUCAUUGGAUCGGAAAUAUUAAAUGAAAAAGAAUCCUCCCAUGGCUAGUUAAUUAUUUGACUACUCAGUGUCCUUCACUGUUAUCUUUUGGAGUAGUUUGUCAUUUACUCGCGUGCUUCACGUAUAUCCUAUGAGUAAAUGGUUGAAUAAUUAAAUAUCAUAAAUCUUAAUUUAUAUAUGUUUCAUAUGCUUAUACCAUGAGGAGUAAUGACUUCACAUAGAAUAAGUAUAGGUAGUAAACUUAUUGAAAGUUAGCAAACGUAUAAUUGGUCACUUGAACAAUUCAUGAAAGAAUAUUGAAGGAAGAGAGAUUUCACAUAUAAAUAUACUAUAUUGGACAUCUUUUGUAAUUGUGAGAACUCAUUAAAAUAUGACAUGCUAAAAGGUUGAUGUCGGACAAGGAAGACAAUGUAAUGGGUUAUGUUUUCUUAUAUCCAAAAUAAAGUAUAUUGUCUUGGAUCAUCCAACAUGUUGAGCUUGCUUUCCCCCUCAUGCUAGCCAAAUUCUUUGCACCAAGUAGAGAUACUACUUGUGCUUCCAAACAUUCCCUAAACCAGUUUUGCCAUGAGAGUCCACCAUACCUACCUAUGGAUUGAGUAAGAUCCUUCAAGUAAGUUGUCAUCGGUGCAUGCAAUAAAAAUUGCCCUCUAAAUAUGUAUGAUCUAUUAAUGUGGAGAAAAUAAGAUUUAUACGAUCUUGUGAUGUGGAAGAAAUAAAAGUGACAUGCUACAUAAUAAAGGUCCAUAUCACAAGUGGCAAUAUAAAGUGACGUUCUUUCGCAUUAAGAUUUUGUGCAUCCAACAAUAAAACCGCAUGACAACCUCUGCUUCCCUCUGCGAAGGGCCUAUCUUUUACUUUUAUCUUCUACCCUUAUGCAAGAGUCAUGGUGAUCUUCACCUUUCCUUUUUACAUUUUAUCCUUUGGCAAGCACAUUGUGUUGGAAAGAUCCUGAUAUAUAUAUCCAAUUGGAUGUAAGUUUCAUGAACUUUCUCUGUGUUCGAUUAAAACUUUGAACCCAUAAAUAUCACAUGAGUGUUAGCAAUUGUGAAAGACUAAAUGAUAGUUGAGUAUUUGAAGUUUGCUAAAUCAAAGCUCUGACAUAGACCCUUCCUGAAAAUAAGAUGAAUUGCAAUUGUUUGAUGACUGAGAAUAUAGUUUGUUAGUUUCAAGAAAGUUUAUGAUCUAUACUUUAACAUGUGAAUAGCUUGUUACUUGAUCAUGAAAAGUUUUAUGAAGAUGAGAUACUGUUAUGAUAUAUAAUGAUGUUAUAAAAAGUGAUUGAAACUACCAUUGAUGAAACUUAUGCACUUCCUAGCAUUCACACUUCAUAAAUUAUUCCUUUUAUCAUUUACCUACUCGAGGACAAGCAGGAAUUAAGCUUGGGGAUGCUGAUACGUCUCCAACGUAUCUAUAAUUUAUGAAGUAUUCAUGCUAUUAUAUUAUCAACCUUGGAUGUUUUAUAUGCAUUUAUAUGCUAUUUUAUAUGAUUUUUGGGACUAACCUAUUAAUCUAGUGCCUAGUGCUAGUUUCUGUUUUUUUCCUUGUUUUUGAGUUUUACAGAAAAGGAAUAUCAAACGGAGUCCAAUCGACGUCCCAAUUUUUGACGAUUUUUUAUGGACCAAAAGAAGACCCCGGAGUAAAAGAGUUGGGCCAGGAGAGUCCCGGGGCGUCCACGAGGGUGGGCCCCCCCCCAGGCAUGUGGGCCUGCCUCGUGGACGCCUCGGGCACCUCCAUGACGUGAGGCCGACGCCAAAAAUUCCUAUAAAUACAGAAACCUCGGAAAAUUAACCUAGAUCGGGAGUUCCGCCGCCAGAAGCCUCCGUAGCCACCGAAAACCAAUCUAGGCCCUCUCUGGUACCCUGCCGGAGGGGCCAUCAUCACCAUGAAGGCCAAGGACCAGAGGAAGAACCUCCCCCCAUCUAGGGGGAGGCCAUGGAGGAGGAAGCACAAGGGGGAGAACCUCUCAUCCUCUCUCUCUCUCAGUGGCACCAGAGUGCCAUUGGGAGGGGAAUCAUCGUCGCGGUGAUCGUCUUCAUCAACAUCACCAUCAUCAUCUCUUUUACGUGGUCCACUCUCCCGCACCCCGCUGUAAUCCCUACUUGAACAUGGUACUUUAUGCCACAUAUUAUGAUCCAAUGAUGUGUUGCCAUCCUAUGAUGUUUUGAGUAGAUAUUAUUUGUCUUUGGGUUGAUUGAUGAUCUAGAUUGGUAUGAUUUGUAUGUUUUACUUUGGUGUUGUCCUAUGGUGCCCUCCGUGUCGCGCAAGCGUGAGGGAUUCCCGCUGUAGGGUGUUGCAAUACGUUCAUGAUUCGCUUAUAGUGGGUUGGUGAGUGACUGAAACACAAACCCGAGUAAGGGGGUUGUUGCGUAUGGGAAUAAAGAGGACUUGAUGCUUUAAUGCUAUGGUUGGGUUUUACCUUAAUGAUCUUUAGUAGUUGCGGAUGCUUGCUAGAGUUCCAAUCAUAAGUGCAUAUGAUCCAAGUAGAGAAAAUAUGUUAGCUUAUGCCUCUCCCUCAUAUGAAACUGCAAUAGUGAUUACCGGUCUUGUUAAUGAUUGCCUAGGACAAUUCCGCACACCGAUCCACCAUUAUUCCACACUCGCUAUUUAUAAUAUUUAGUAAUAUAUUCUAACUUUAUGAUAACAGCACCUACUUUUAUAUUUUAGCUCUCCGAUAUCAUAAAAAGUUAUCGUCUUCAUACCCACAUCAUAGUUUUAUUUCUCGUUGCUAGUUGGAAGCAAACGUUCGGUGUACGUAGAGUCGUAUCAGUGGCAUAUAGGGCUUGAGAGAAUAUUGAUCUUACCUUUAGCUCCUUGUGGGUUCGACACUCCAUACUUAUCACUUCCACCUUUGGAAAUUGCUAUGAUGAUUCCCUGCACUUGGGGAUUAUCACGUAACAAUUGGUUUGCAGAUUACCAAACGAUCCAAAGAUUGACCAGCCGCAAGUGCCAAGCCCUCGGGGCAUGCUAUGUGCUUGAGAGCUGUUGGAUUAUUAACACGAGGUAGAACAAUAGUUGAAGACCCGAGGUACCGACCUUGUUCAUUUCUGCAAAUUGCAGCAGUAACUCGAACAGUCCUGUCAUGAGACAGACCACUGUCUACAUGGAUUUUAACGUGGAUAAUCUAAGGCGGUUUUCAAGCUCUUUGAACAUUGAAAACUUGGGUGUGUCUCGCCGGAUUGGCCGCAUUGGACUGCGUAUUCAAUCCAUCCAACUUAACAAUGAAUUUUUAAAUGAAUAGGUGAGUUAACAUUGGGCUUUGACAAAUUGACUCAUGAAUAGAUUUUCUACUUGUAGUCCAAAGUGCCCAAAGUGUGACGGACAUUUCCACGAAGUCCACAUGCGAUAAUGAAACCAUCAUGUUAAAAGCCAGUUUUUUGCAUUGGGUUCGUGAGUCUCGAUAAUAAGGUUAGUUAACUCUUCAUCACCUAGAGCCCAAACAAACCUUGAAGCUGUACAGUCAAUCAGUGAGUGCCUCCAGGAAUCAACAGCUCCACACAGAUGGCAAGAAUCUGUGUUACACAUUUUUCGAUGAUGUCUCAUGUCCUUUGAUGGAAAAUAAUGCCUUGCCAUUCUCCAAAGAAAAGUCAUGGUCUUUUCAGGAACUUUAGUCUUCCAUAUGGAUGCCCAACACCUCUCUUCCAUUGCACUAUUGGAAGCAGUCCCUCUUUGACCUAGCAAAUCAUCCCUGAUGUUUCUUAACUUAACCAGCAAGAGGUAUGCAAAGCUGGCAGAGAAUUCUCCUUUCUUUUCAAAUCGCCAUGCCCAAAAAUCUGUCAUCAGAGUAGUACAAAGUGGUACGUUCUUUAUUGCUUGAACACCAGAUGAAAGUAAAAAUUGUUGCAACUUGUCAUCUCUCCAUGUUAUCGAGCUACUGUCAAUCAAGUCACUGACAAGAGUUGGAGGAUUGCUAGCCAGACAUGCUACUGACCUCCUCGCCGAGUCUCUCUAGUUGUCUACCCAAAAUCGGGUAUUUGCGCCACCCCAAUGCGCCUUAUGAUUCCAUGCGAGAACACGCCUCUUUCCUCCAAGAUAGAUCUCCAUACUUGAGACAGGUGUGAUCCCAGCUCGACAUUUAGAAUAUCAUUAUUUGGGUAAUAAAAACACUUAAGAAGAGUCCAGUCUUGUAAGGAGGUGCCAUGACUGUCGAGCUAACAAAGCUAGGUUGAGCAACUCAAUGUCCCUGAAACCCAAACCUCCACACUUCUUUGGUUGAGUCAUAGCUCUCCAAGAAACCUAGUGUGGUUUCGGUUGCCCUUCUUUGCCGCCCUAAAAAACUGGCAGAUGAGUUUGUUCAACUUUUCACAUAAACCUCUGAAGCAUGACAUUGAAAAAACUGGAACGUCAUGUGCCACUGAUUUAAUAAGAAUUUAUUUGCCUGUUGCUGAAAUAAUUUUCUCAACAACCCUUCACCUUAGACCACAACCCUCUGGUAGGUACUUCAAAGCACCCAUCUUUGAAGAACCAAUGUCAGAUGGCAUGCCCAAGUACUUCUCAUCACGAGUCUCAGUAUGAAAAUUAACUACCCCUUUCACUUCUUAUCUGAUGUUGUCUAGUGUUCCCUUGCUGAAAUAAACUGAAGACUUGUUUGUGUUGAUCCUCUACUUCGAAGCUUGACAAUAAGAGUCUAACAAGUUUGACACUUUCCUCGCCCUAGAACCAUUUGCCUUGAAAAACUGCAGGUUAUCGUGAGCAAAUAACAAGUGGUUAACUCAUGGUGCUGAAGGAGCCACUUGAAUCCCACUCAAAUGCAACGAAUGAUCUCUUUUGAGGAGGCCAUAAAGGCCCUCUGGUGCUAAGAGGAAAAGGUAGGGUGAAAUUGGGUCUCCCUGCCAGAUACCUCUCAAAGUAUUGAAAUCGUCAAGUUUCUUGCCAUUGAAUAGAAUUGAGUAUGAGACAGAUUUGACCAUAUUCAUGAUAAUUGAAACCCACCUCUUAGAAAAACCAAGCUUAAGCAUGAUAGCUCCAAGUAUGUCCAGACCAUUCUACUAUAUCAUAUGCUUUCAUCGUGUCCAGCUUCAGCGCACAAUGACGAUGUUUUCGAGCUUUAUUUUGUUUCAUAAAAUGCAAGCAUUCAUAAGCAAUAAUGAUGUUGUCAGUAAUAAGCCUCCCUGGAAUGAAGGUAGACUGCUCUACGGAAAUAAUAUAUGAGACGGUCUCUUUCAGCCGGUUAGCAAUAACUUUAGAUGUAAUCUUGUAUAGAACAUUGCAUAGGCUGAUUGGUCAGAAUUGGGUUAAAGAAGAGGGUUUUUUAAACCUUUGGGAUCAAAACUAGACAAGCAGUAUCCAUGCACUCACAUUCUCUAUGCCUUCCACAAUGCACAAUACUUCAUCUCCACAUAUCUCCCAAUGCUUCUAAAAGAAGUGCGUCGGGUAGCCAUCUGGAACCUGAGCUUUCAUAGGAAACAUUUGAAAUGGGGAUGCUUUUACAUCAAGGGUGGUGUAUGUGGCAUUUAGAUAUGCGUUCAUAUAUGUUGUCAAUUAGGUGGCACCGCAUCCAACACAUCAUGCAUGUUGGUAACACCUUCUAACGUGUAGAGACUUUUGUAAAACAUUGUUGCCAUCUCCUCAAGCUUAGUUAUGUUACUGAUCACGUCACGAUUAGCAUUUUGCAUGGAUUUUAUGGGGUUCUUCCUUCUCCUCAUAGUAUCUCUAACGUGGAAGUAGCGAGAAGUGUUUUUAUCACCUAUUUUUUAUGGUUAAAAAGAAGGAAAAAGGGCCAGGCCCGAGACGGAGGGGUGUGACGGGCAGGCGAAUUGGCUGUGCACGUCUACGUAUAGCUCGUAUAUGCCACAUAUGGAGGUGGGUAUACCUUACGGUCAAAUGACAAUAGUUCACUUAUACGGUUUGUGCGGGGGGUGCACCGAAGCAAGGCUCUAUAAACAUAGCAUGAAACAAUAACAAAUUAUAGAUACAUUUGAGACGCAUCAGAAUUUUGAUGCUAGGAUCAAAUUCCAAAGUUACAAGAUAGCACCUACUUGGCUAAUUUUUAAAGAGUACAUAAUAUGUAGUGAUGUACUUUGAACCAGACAAUCAUGCGAGGAAUUGUCUCGUGAUUGAUAAGAGAAAGUAAUUAGAGGAUCAACCUUGAGCAUAGAGUUACCCCCCUCCCCAUGUAUUGUGUACUAAAUCUAAAUACAAUAUACAUAUCUUUACUAUAUAUUUAUGUAUUAACUGUAGAUCUCAAUGCAUAUCUCCAUGGCCUGACAAGAUCCAAAAGUUAUAUCGUGCUAUAUAUCUAGCUAUUACGAAAUGUAUAUCUACAAGAUACAUUGACUAUUGGUGAAUUUAUCAUGUAUAUAGUAUGUAUAUCCAGGAGGCAUGUAUUACUAGUAUGUAGCUUUAUCUGGUCUUAAUUACAUUUUUAUACAUUUAUUAUUUUCUCUCCUAAACUAAUCCCUAAAAUAAGAGAUUUUGCUUGGUUAAUUCACCCCAUUAUUAUCAUAUCUUAUAGAAUCAUUUUUAUAGCAUAUUUAGUGGUAAAAAAAAUGCAGUCAACAUGUCUAGGUUCAUUGUGUCAUUAACUUUCAUAUAUUUUUAGGAGGCAUUUACUAUUCGCUAAAUAGAUUAACUUUCCUAUUCUCUUUACUACCAAUUAGAUCCUCAAUAUUCGUAUAUUUUGUUUUAAUAUAAUUUAUUAGGAUAAGCACAAGCUUCAUGCCAUGAUAUCUAUAUAAAGCGAGUAUUUGCUUGGACCAAACACAAACAUACAACUGAACGCAGUAUUGCAUAGUGCUCUCUACUGCUCUUUGUGAAUUUAGGCGAUGGCAAAUAAUAGCAUUCUCCAAGUCUUUGUUGUUUUUCUCAUUGCGCAAGUCUGCUUGCUCAUGAUGAUUGCAGCACCGGUAGCACAGGCAGCCGGCAGGCUUAUGGGAUACAACCCAGUUUGCUGCCCUAGGGACAUCUAUUGUUGUGGGCUCGGUGGCGUGAUGGCCAAUGGAACCGCAUCCUCCAUGAAGCCUUGAUAUGUGGUUUUUUCUCCUCCGAUAAAUAAGCUAGGACAUAUAAAAUAUGCUCCCAUGUGUGGUUUGUUGUUCCACAUAUAUAUUUUGUGUUGCUAGUUUCCAGAAAUGUUAUUAUAUAAGCUAUUUUUCUAAUAAAGUGGGAGGAGAUUAUUACUUAUGUUGUUUGCAAUGUGCCACAAAGAGAUUACAAUUAUGUCGAAAUCAAUGUUUUUAGAGGACCAUAUCAUCCUAUAUUUUUAUGGUUAAAUCCAUGUUAUUGUCAUAAUUGCACUAUUUGUUGUUGAUUCCAAUGUAUUGCUAAACAUAUCAGUUAACCCAUCAAAUAAAGUAUUAGUUUGUUGCAGAAAUGGGUCAAAUACC
rnacentral:lncRNA from 1 species